UGCACGCUGGAGGCGUGCUUAACACAUGCAAGUCGCACGAGAACGCUUCAGCUUGCUGAAGUUAGUAAAGUGGCGCACGGGUGAGUAACGCGUGGGUAAUCUACCCUCAAAUUGGGGAUAACCCGCCGAAAGGCGGGCUAAUACCGAAUGAUAUCUUGAAAACUUAUGUUUUCAGGAUCAAAGGUGGCCUCUAUAUGUAAGCUAUUGUUUGGGGAUGAGCCCGCGUACCAUUAGCUUGUUGGUAGGGUAAUGGCCUACCAAGGCUACGAUGGUUAGCUGGUCUGAGAGGAUGAUCAGCCACACUGGAACUGACACACGGUCCAGACUCCUACGGGAGGCAGCAGUGAGGAAUUUUGCGCAAUGGGGGAAACCCUGACGCAGCAACGCCGCGUGAGUGAUGAAGGCUUUCGGGUCGUAAAGCUCUGUCAAGUGGGAAGAACUCAUAUGGUGUUAAUAUCGCCAUAUGCUGACGGUACCACUGAAGGAAGCACCGGCUAACUCC
rnacentral:rRNA from 1 species